AACGCACGAGACCUGCGGACCUGCGGAAGGAUCAUUAGUGAACGCCCUCACGGGCUUAUAACUAUUCCAAACCUCUGUGAACCGUGCCCUUCGGGGCUAUUUUACAAACAUGGUGUAAUGGACGUCAUAUAUCAUAACAAAACAAAACUUUCAGCAACGGAUCUCU
rnacentral:misc_RNA from 1 species